rfam:Ovis aries breed Texel chromosome 2, whole genome shotgun sequence.
UCCCUUGUAGCUCAGUUGAUAAAAGAAUCUGCCUGCAAUGCAGGAGACCCGGGUUCAAUUCCUGGGUUAGGAA